GCAAGUCGAACGGUAGCAUAUCUUGCUUGCAAGAUGAUGACGAGUGGCGGACGGGUGAGUAAUACUUAGGAACAUGCCUUUGAGUGGGGGAUAACUAUUGGAAACGAUAGCUAAUACCGCAUAAUGUCUACGGACCAAAGGGGGCUUUGGCCCUCGCUCAGAGAGUGGCCUAAGCGAGAUUAGCUAGUUGGUGAGGUAAAGGCUCACCAAGGCGACGAUCUCUAGCUGUUCUGAGAGGAAGAUC
rnacentral:rRNA from 1 species